UUUUUUUUUUUAGGAGGAGUGCAACUUCCUGUAAUUCCAGGUUGUGUCGAGUACAGCAUUUUUUCAGCAGAGUGAUCAUGUUCCAAAAGAGAUCUGCCCUGUGUCAAAGAUGAUGUCUGAGAUUGAGGCUUCAGGUGAGUUGAGGAUUGGGACUAGGAGUGGGAGAGUGAGCAGGGUACCGAGUUAAGAGUUAUCAUGGUGGGGUUUUGCAGGCAGUAGGGUGAGAAAUGGUGUCUAUUUGCAAGGCUUUUCACAAGUAUAGCAGAGGCAUCCGUGUGUCAUACAGCACACAAGCUCAUCCACUGAACUCACAGAAAUGCUAUGUAACUUUGCCUCUCUAAACCAGGUGCUACUCAUAAUAACAGCUAAACCUUAGACUAGGGAUGGAACUGGAGACUUGAGCACCCAAGCACACUCAGGAGAGGAUAAGUAUCUGACUUGCUGGGAUUUGGCCCACAUAACACUAAACUCAACCAUUGAUUUUCCUGUUCUUUAUUCUAGCUGAAUAAGAGGCCAACAGGAGAUCCCCUCCGAGGCAGACUCAUUUCAGGUCCAACGUGGAUUCGCAUUUCCAGUCAUCCAAAAGAUAAGUUGGGUCCAUGGCCUGGGGAUGGGAGUAAUGGCCCCCUUCGGCAGCCGAUGGGGAUUUGAAUCCCCAGAUAUGUGCAAGAUAAAUCAAGGGCUACAACCCACAGAGGGGAUGGAAGCGAAGUGCCAGGUUGGGACUCCCCAGGAGGGGUUUUUGAGUCAGUUUUAGAGAUGAGGAUGUCCAAGAAGUGUCUCCUUAGGCCAGCUAAAGGAAAAGUGUCUGUUUUGAUCUCGGUGCUGAGGUGCGCAGGGCAGAGCAGUUCCGGUGUGUGUCCUGUCACUUGUCUCUGGUGCACUCUGUGUUCUUUGGGUCUCCCAGUCCUUUCUUCUUGUGGAAAGCUCUCUCUCCCUGUCUUGUCCCCUCGUUUCUCACGUCCUGUGUCACGGGUGUCUGCACAUAUUUGUCCCGGAGCUGCUCUGCCCUGCUGCAUAGCCUGUAAUAGCACAAGUCCUGGGGACUUGAAAUUGGUAAUGCAGGGUGCAGCUGGGCUCCAAAUUGUAUUAGGAGAUUACCAGAACAUGUUUGGUGGUGUUAAGUUGUCCUGCAGCUGUUUGACAUUAGUCCUAACUUCCUUUCAGAUGCAGACAGUUCAAAUCAGUGCCAGAGGGCCACAGUCCUGGGUGAAGAACUUCCCAUGAGCUGGUCAGUCAUUGUUUGCAUUUACAGGGGAAGCAGCCUAAGUGGUGACUCUGUUACAGCGGUGUUCUUUGCCUUUAUUUUUAGGAGGUCCAGGCAGAUAGCAGCAGUCAAGGCCCAGUGUGCCAGGUGAGCAGUGGAGAGAAGCAGUUGUUCUUGCUCAGGUUUCACUUUUUGGUGCAACUGUAAGCAUCCAUUCUUGUUUUUGUGCUUUAGGGAAUCCACUGGGAGUUUGCAUAUCCCCUGUCAGCAGCUGGCUGAUGGACUGGGUUUGCUGUGCUUGUGAGUCCUCUGGAAGUAUUACAGGACCCUGUGAUGAAGCCUACUGAUUUUGCAUUUCAAGGUCCCAUCCUGGUAACCCAGAGCAGUGGCCAAGGAGUUGUGGUGAGUCAGGGAGGUAGGGAGGAGGAGUGAGAGUCCACUCAAGUUUCAGCAAUGCCAUGUCACCCUUUCUCCACUUAAUCUAGGUGUACCCUGAGAUGAUGCUGUCGGCCUCCAAGCACGCCUGCGGUGUGUGGCCCGACCAUUCUGAGGAGAAUGGUGAGUAGCAGAAUUGUCAGGUUUUGGCCAUUGUGCUGUUACGGUUUCUGUGCACUGAUGUUUGGUUUUCAUUCUCUUGGCAGGCCAAGAAGUGACAGCUGGAACUUACCAGACAGGCAGACGGCCUUCUUCUGCAGCCAACAGGGAUUUGCAUCCCCAGAUAUGUGCAAGAUAAGUCAAGGGCUACAACCCACAGAGGGCAUGGAAGCGAGGUGCCAGGUUGGGAGUCCCCAGGAGGGGUUUUUCAGUUAGUUUUGGAGAUGAG
ensembl:lncRNA